rnacentral:misc_RNA from 1 species
AACGCACGAGACCUGCGGACCUGCGGAAGGAUCAUUACCGAGUUAUCCAACUCCCAACCCCUGUGAAUUAUACCUUUAAUUGUUGCUUCGGCGGGACUUCGCGCCCGCCGGGGACCCAAACCUUCUGAAUUUUUUAAUAAGUAUCUUCUGAGUGGUUAAAAAAAUGAAUCAAAACUUUUAGCAACGGAUCUCU